rnacentral:rRNA from 1 species
UUCCUUUGAUUUUGGGGAAGAUAUAAAGCGAGCAGCACUUUUAAUACAUGCUAGGAAGACAGACGCAUGCGUAGUUUUAUCUAUAGACGUGCAAAUGCUCCGUACAGGUGAGUAAUGCUUCGGAAUGAAUCAAUUACUUAAAAAACAAUAGUUAAUUGAUGGGCCAGAGUCGUAUUAGGUAAAGAAAGAUUAAAGAUUUCUUACCAAAGAUGCGUAGCUGAAAAGCCACACUUCCACUGAAACAAGGGGGAGACUCGGUAUAGAGGCAGCAGUAGAGAAUCUUGUGCAAUGUAUGAAAGUAUGACACAGAGAUGUUGCAAAAGAAGACCGUCCAAUAUACGUGCCAGCAGACGCGGUUAUACGUAAGGUCUAAGUUUUUAUCAGAAAAGGCGUAAAGGGUGUGUCGGCGUUAAUUCGAGUAAUUUGAUAUUAUAAACAAUGAGAAUCAAAUAACGAGGAUAAGGAGUUUUAGGGGGUAAAUGGAAUUUUUAUGUAGCGGUAGAAUGCUUUUAUAUAAAUAAGAACCCCGUAGGCGAAAGCGGUUUACUACUAAAAACUGACGCGGAAACACGAAAGUAAGGGGAGCAAAUAGGAUUAGAUACCCUAGUAGUCCUUACUGUAAAUUAUGAAUAUAAGAUCACAAACUGGAAUAAUUAAAGUUAAUCCCUUCAAAUGUGGUCAACAAAAACUUAAAAUAAUUCCGCCUGAAGAGUACGAUCGCAAGAUUAAAAUUCAAAAAAUUUGGCGGUUCACUAAUCCAAUUAGAGGAGCGUGUGGUUUAAUUCGAUAGUCCGCGAUUAACCUUACCAAAAUUAGAAGCAAGCACGGCCUUUAGGAGUUUAUUAAUCAUUCUAGACGGGCUUGAAUUCAGGUAUUGCAUGGCCGUCGUCAGUUCGUGUUGUGAAAGGAAUAGAACGAACUUAACCCUUAAUCAAAAUUAUUAUUUUUAAUUCAUUAAUUUCUGGUUUAAGGAUGACGUCAGGUCCUUAUGAUCCAUAUGUUUUGGGCUUUACAUGCGCUACAAUUUUAUACACAAAAAGAUUUUAAAACCUUUAAAGUAAAAGUUCGGAAAACUCUUUGAAAUAAGGAGUAUGAAGUUGGAUUUAAUAGUAAUCAGAAAGUAGAGCGUUCUGGUGAAUAUGGCUCUAGUGUUCGUACAAAUCGCCCGUCAUCUCUACCGAGUAAAGAGUCUUAAAGUGUUAAGUUAUAAGUAAUUUAUGCUUAAAUGAAAGAAAAAAAAUAAAAUAUGUUUAACUUCAAAAAUUUGAUAUUAUAAAUAUUUUUAAACUUUAAUUUGUAAUUUAGCAUCACGGAGGGUUUAUAAGGUUGAGGAAGUCGUAACACAGCGGGGGUAUUGGAAAAUGUCCCCAGAUUAAU